UCCGAGUUGACCCCGGCAGUCUCCUGCGAGUCCCCGCCAUUACGCGCUGGCAACACAGGACAAGGGUUGCGCUCGUUGCGGGACUUAACCCAACAUCUCACGACACGAGCUGACGACAGCCAUGCACCACCUGUCACGGGCCCAAAAGGACACUGUGUUUCCACAGCUUUUCCCGUGAUGUCAAGCCCAGGUAAGGUUCUUCGGGUUGCAUCGAAUUAAGCCGCAUGCUCCGCCGCUUGUGCGGGGACCCGUCAAUUCCUUUGAGUUUUAGCCUUGCGGCCGUACUCCCCAGGCGGGAUACUUAAUGCGUUAGCUUCGGCACGGCAGUCGUUGGUAAGACCGCCACACCUAGUAUCCAAAGUUUACGGCGUGGACUAC
rnacentral:misc_RNA from 1 species